GGCCACAUAACAUUGAAACACCAGUUCUUCUAUGAUCACCAAAGUUAAGCAAUGUUGAGCCUGGUCAUUACAUAGAUGGGUGACUGCUUGAGAAUACUAGGUGCUGUAAG